rnacentral:rRNA from 1 species
GAUGAACGCUGGCGGCGUGCCUAAUACAUGCAAGUCGAGCGAACAGACGAGGAGCUUGCUCCUCUGACGUUAGCGGCGGACGGGUGAGUAACACGUGGAUAACCUACCUAUAAGACUGGGAUAAAUUCGGGAAACCGGAGCUAAUACCGGAUAAUAUAUUGAACCGCAUGGUUCAAUAGUGAAAGACGGUUUUGCUGUCACUUAUAGAUGGAUCCGCGCCGCAUUAGCUAGUUGGUAAGGUAACGGCUUACCAAGGCAACGAUGCGUAGCAGACCUGAGAGGAUGAUCGGCCACACUGGAACUGAGACACGGUCCAGACUCCUACGGGAGGCAGCAGUAGGGAAUCUUCCGCAAUGGGCGAAAGCCUGACGGAGCAACGCCGCGUGAGUGAUGAAGGUCUUCGGAUCGUAAAACUCUGUUAGUAGGGAAGAACAAAUAUGUAAGUAACUAUGCACGUCUUGACGGUACCUAAUCAGAAAGCCACGGCUAACUACGUG